GAAUGUGAGAGUGAUCUGGCUGUGACAUCUAUCAGUGUCACCCCAUUGAUCAUCAAGGUUAAUUUGGCUGAUCUGGCUGGUUAUACAGCUGUACCCUUUUUUCACAGCUUUGUGUGGAUCCCUCUUGAAGUUGCAUGCUUGAUGGGAGAGGAUGACCAUCCCAGAGCAGAGUGCACUGAUCUUCAGUCAAGGGUUUACAAUAGCUGCAUUCCCCUGUUAGAUUUAUGAAGAUAUCCAGUAGUUUCAUGUAGAUGUUAAAUAGAAGACAACUAGAAAAUACUGUUCUAAGAACAAAAGCCCAGACCUUU
rnacentral:snRNA from 1 species